UUAACUCGAUGUGAUUUUGCUGGCGAACCACUAAAUUGAACGAAUACGAACUAAACUGAACUCAACUAAGCUAAUCAUAUCACAUUACUAGCGUUAUUAGCCGAGAGACGAUAUAAGUGAAGGUCCGGUGGUGCCGGGCUGCAGUAACGGGUCGCCUCCUGCACUGACCCUCUGCACGACUUUCUUUUCGACCCCUUUUUCUCGUUCACACUAUCAAGAAUUUCGUGUCCUGUAUCAUCUAUCCGUAUCUAAAUCAUAGAAACGCGUUCAUUCUGCAUAAUUGUUACGUUUGUCGUUGUUUACGAAAUCGUUUUUUAGGUUAGUUUUGUGAAACUUUGUGCAAGGUGAAGUCUCUCGGAAGAAACAGACGAUUCUCGAUGUACACGAGGUCUGGCGGACGAUGUUGCCCGAUCCUGGCCGAGCCGCCCUGACUGUGCAACAGGAAACACGUGCGCCCGGUGAAAGUGACAGCUCGGAGCGCGCCAAAUUUGAAACGGAGAUCGAAGAAUCGCGUUGUUCGUCACGAAAUAUAAUAUUGAACAAACUGAGAAAGACUUGAUAUCGAAGUGGGGGAUAUCAGCGGUUAAAGAAAGAGAAGACAGAAUAAUUAUCUCCCACCAACCACUUUGAAGCGACAAGAGAGGGGAAUAGACCUGGUGGAAAGAUAAGAACGAAAUGGACACGAUACGUUCCGCCCCCACCACUUCUACCAGCAGAAUAGAAGGAGUUUCUCGGCUCCACCUCUUCCCCUUCCGAUAACACCCUCCUUCAACGGUGGAUGACGAUUUGACUCCGACUUACUGUACUUGGCUACCUCGCUCUUCAACCCCCUAAGACUUCUGUUUACAUCUCUCAUACACCCAGAAAAUUAGAACAGACUAAUAUAAUCCACGUAUAUACAUAUAUAAUGUACACAAGCUUUUACAUAUAUGGAGAACGAAGCGAGCUGAUAAUAAGCAGACAAAGGGAAAGAGUCUCUCUUGUUGAGAAGUAUAUUUAGAUCGAACGACACAGGGAAACGAGGUGAAGAGGAGGGUUUGGAAGAGACUUUUUGCACGCGAGCCGCUCUUUUUUACGUCGUAGGUAUGCCGACCGGAUAGUAUUGCCGUGUGGCCAGGCUGGCAGGGCCGACCAAUUGAGCCUGUUAACGUCAAUUGAGCUGAAUUAGUUCAAUUGGACGUAAUUGCACGAAGGCGACGGGGAACCUUCGCUCUCUGUUCACCAGCCAUGCUCGCGUUUCUCUUUUCGCGCUGAUAUCGCCGUAUUCUCAGGACUUCCUUCAAAGUACAGUCCAAACAUAAGUUCGAUAUAAUCGAGGAAUGUUGUACAAGACUUGAUACAUAGUUUGUUCAAAACACUGACUCUACGUUGUUUCUCUGCAGCCGUUAAAUUGUAAUCUCGUAGAUUUAGUUGUUUAAUUUCUCACUAAAUGAUCUCAGAUAAAAUUUAAUAUCAAAGAUGAAAUAGGUUUGACGUUGUUUAACGUGAUUCUUACAAUUCUUGAAGCAUUUAAACUUUGCUUUUGUUUAUUUUCAUAAUUAUAGUAGAUAAUUCUUGGGUACAAUAUUAACGCGAUUAUGUUGUGUAUGGGUACAAUAUCUAUUAUAUCAUCAAAUAACAAAUCAAACAUAGAAAGCAAUAGGUAUCUUCCUAAGAAAAUAACAGAGUCACAAAAGAAUUCACUACUUGACAAAUCAUUUCGUCGCUUCUAUGAAAAUUAAUGAAAAAUGAAAAAAAAGCAACCCUUAUAUCGGUCAGAAAAUUCCACCCUCUUUAUGUUCUCUAAGCUUCCCACAAGUAAAACAAAUUACAACAUCACCGGUACCAGGAUAAUGGCCAUCAGAGGAGGCAAUUAUGACAGCCGUGGCCCAAGAAUUAACGUGCCCACAUGAGCGUCGCGAGAUUCCUGAUCGAGAUCACAAUAAACGUUCCUUUCUCGCUUUUUUCCUUUUUUUCACCCCCAUGGAACGUUGGCGAACAAGCAACAGUCAUUGAUAUUAGUCACUUUAUAUCAUGCUGGUAUAUUUCACGGGUCAAAGCGUAGAGAGAUGGCCAACGACGAAAACUUUUUUAUAUGUGCUAUAUGUGUUUUGAGGAGAAAUACUGGUGGUCGAUACCCACCCUCGAUCGGACACAAAGAGCUUGGAUAUUUUCAAUAUACGCGUACUGUCUAUUCAAUGGUUGCUGCGAUUCUACCUGAGAUUCGAUUCAUGCAGGAGAUGAAUUCCUCGUUCGAAAUAUACUGGAUGCGACCACGUGGGUUGAGUGCAUGCAACAGGUGUACAUCGCUCGCGCGGGACUACCUGUUGAGUAGAUAUAAAUGAAGGCUUUCGUUUUCAACAAUUAUACUGUCCAGGAGUUAUACUCAUUAACUCUAUAAAUUAAAAGGAAAAAAGAGACGUGUGUCGGAUGUUACAAUUUUUAUGAAAUUUCUUCAGAAUUUACGUUUAUUUCUAUGAUUUUCUUGCAAUACAGAUAAGCUUACACUAGAGGCAAAUGUAAUUUGUUUCUUCGAGAUGUACAGUGGUAAUCACGUGUCCGGGCGAUGAAAUGUAGAUCAGUCAGAGACGUAGAGUUAACGAUGUAGAGUGACGCGUGAAGAAUGUAAAAUACAGUUGAAUUAGGAUGUGGUGAAACUGAAGAGAGUAGGAUUUGAGAAUUGAAGGGUGUAGAAUGAGCUAAAUUAGAUUAUUGAUGAAAGGAUUGAAGAUAUUUAUAAGGGUCGAAUUUGAGAGUUAAGGGGAGUGAAAUGUACACUGUAGAAUGAGAUUGAUUAGAUUAUUAAUUAUGAAAUGUGAAGGUUGAGGGGGCGUAGAAUAUAUGCUAUGAAAUGUACGCUAUAGAACGUAUAUCGUAGAAUGUUGUAGAAUGUAUUAAAUUAAAUUGUUGAUAAUCUUAUUUGCCAGAAUUUCGCAGUUGACAUUUUUCAUAAACUGUCUCGUUUAAUUGUAAUAAUAAUUAAGCUGGUAUUUAAUUGCACUUUUAGAUUUGUAGAUCGUGAUUCAAAGGAGAAAAUGUAACGUCGCAGCCUGAUGACGUCGCAUCCUUAUUAACCCGACGUAGUCACAUCCGUCGCUGUCCCGUUCUGUAUUCACGUGCAGGGUGUUUCUCGUAAUGAUACUUUGAUUUACAUAUUGAAACCAGUCUAUAGAGUUACGUACUUCAAUUUAAAAUUCUCUAAUACCAAAUCGUACUCUUCAAAUUUACGCUGGAAAUCUUAUUCUUUUUUAAUUUCAUACAUUUUCUAAUUCGCCGUGGUAUACUUGUACACAAAUAAUUUAUAGUAUAUAUAAUUAUAUCAUAACUCCUCCUACAUCUUUUUAUAAAAUCAGUUAAAGGUUGUCUGCGAAAUUUGGUGAAAAUCAAACCAUUUUUUAAUGUUCCCCUUAUUGUAUAUAGAUAAACAUUGCUAUCCAAAAAUUGGUCGCAUAUACUUCUAUCCAAGAGAAUGUUAUUUUAUUCAAAUUUCUCAAGAAUACACCACUCAUACAGUAACAUACUAAUUCAAUCUAUUAAACUCUUCACACUAUCCAGAAGAUGGAUCAAUAGAGAUUACUAAAUUGUUAUAAUUAAUUAAUAAUAAAUUAUUACAUAGAGAUUACUAAAUGGAUUAACAGACGAUUACUAAACUAAGAUAACAAAUUUAAAAUAGGUUUAGCUGAACGAUAAGGUGCAAACUCAUUGUAUUCUCGAUAUGAGCCAACAUCGCUAUACCAAGCAGCUACGAAGCAGCUCUGGAUGGCUAAGAGAACAGAUGAAAUAUUAAAGUACGUAGUUGUAGAUUCUCACGCAAAACGAGGGCGAACGUAUUCGUUGUGAAAAGGUGCAGCGCACAUUGACGAGCAAUUAGUCGACGACCUAUGCCCUCAUAUUUCGUGAGAACGAGAAAUUCGGACUCUGAUACAUGCUACGAGGUUUAUAUCAUCCCGCAUAAGAUCAUCUAUGUACAAUAAUAUAACAGGACUGCGGGUGGGAAUUUACGAGGACGUCUUUAGAUCUGAUUACAUGAAAUUUUGGGUGUUCAGAGAACCGGUGGAAAACUGCGCCCAUAUCCAGAAAUGUCGCAUAAAAGUGCCACCGUCAAGACUAAUCUCCCUCCGAGAUCGUUUUCGAAAUCGACAUUUUUGUUCGAAUAAAAGCGUAGAUCUCAGAGUCGAGAACUUAUUUUGUGACGGUUCAAUUCGUGUAUUUGAAGAAUUGAACAGGAAAAGUGGCAAUUAUUAUACCGAUAUCUUUAUUGAUUAACUCUAUUUGUUGCGUGCAUUAAGCAUCGCAGAAUCAAAGAAUUUAUUUAAUGUAAGAAUUCUGGAUAAGCGUAACGAUCUCGUUGUACCUGUUUACCUUAAGUAGAAGACCCCGCGAUCUUCAAGACAACGCGAGACAAAAUUAAGCUCUACAACGUGAAACAGCGUGGACUAAAAUGUAGAUGUACGAACUGAGAACUUAUUUGGCAAUAAUUUAACUCGCCUGUUUGAAGAAUAUAAUAGAAAAACGAAUGGAAUUACUUGAAUUCCUUUGUAUUAUAAUUUUACUAUAAUUAAGAUCCUCAUGCGCUUCUUUUAAUUUCUUGUCAUCGAAAACUGUAAGAAAUUAUAAAUGUUUAUAUUUGUUAAAUGUGAUAUGGGUUUCUAUCGAAAUAUUUGUAAAAUGAACGACAGCAGCGACAGACAGUCGAGGACUCCGUAGAAAAUUGUUUCGUCGAGUGUCUUCAGGGACUCUGCACUCUGAACCCCAUGGAGGAACCAUAUGUUUUUACGUAUGUUCAUGCUGGCGAAGAUGACUCUUCCUGACACGCGACCCGCAGCCACCCUAAAUACUUAAUUGUCAAUUCGAUUUUGGUGAGGGAAUGAUAUCCGUGGAAUUCUCCGCUCCGGGAUUCUCUCUCCAGAUUUUUUCACAAUGAGAACACCAUGAAAUUAAUAGCCCUUUUAUAAUGGUACAAUAUAUGAAUGGUACUGAAAGGAACUUUUAUUAUCUAAGGUUUGUUGGAAAUUCUAUUCAAACUAUCUAGGAUGUAAAUUAAUGUUAAAAUACAUAGUAAUUACAAAGAAUAAUAACAAAAUUAAAAUAAGUAUAGCUUAAUAAUAUGUAAGUAUAAAUUCAUUGUAUUUUCAAUAUGGACCAACAUCUUCACUGUAUCAAACUCUCCAAAGCAUCUUUGAGUAAAUAGAUAAAUCUUUAUGUAUAUAUAGUUCAAUAAAUUAGAUACUAAUCCACGAAUUUAAUCUACGAACAACAUUUUAUAUGUACAAUCUACGAAUUAAAUAAUUACUCUACAAAUACAUAGUUCUUGAGAAUAAAAUUUUAUGAAUUCAUUAAAUCUCUAUACCUUUACUUUUUAAAUCCGUUAUAAGAUAAUUGAUACAGUGUCGUUGGUGAAUUUAUAGGAAGAAAUAAUGAAAUAAUUAAUUAUUAAAGUCUUCAUGGAUUAUUUAACGAUUUAAAUUAUUUUGAAGGCAUAGAUUUAAUUUUAUUAUGAGAUCAUAAUCAGUUCGAAUUUGGUGCGUGAAGAAAUCUAUAUUACCCGCUUAAUGAAAUAAAACGUUCGGUGGAGACAUCUAACGAUUCUUUCAAAAGUAUCGUAAUCGUAGACUCUCAAGGUGCAUAAAAAUUGUACGGAACUCAUUUUCAAAAUUGCAUUCAAUUGCAUUACAGUCUCAAAUAAUUCUUCGCUUAAAUGAAAUAUUGGGAACAGUACAUAUAAUUACAAUCAAAGCUUUCAUUCAAUCACAGUUCGAAAUUAUUGUUGAAAUUUUGCUGCAACUUACGAAACAAAAAGGCUUUAAUAACCUACGUAAAAUUAUAUACCAUACCUUAUAGCACAUUAUAAUACUUGAUUAAUCAGUAUAAAAAUAAUAAUUGAGGAUGAACAAAAUGUAAUUCUUUACUCGAAAAAUGGAAUUUUAAAUGUAUAAUAGCAGCAAUCUAUACAAUUUAUUACCUGUAAUUUCAUUCAACACAAAGUUUGAAUUGUAUAAGACGCUAUAUAAUAAAUUGGCACACAAUUCAUAAAGUGUCAUAAAUUUUAAAGUACAUAUAAAGUAUAGUGUAGCAGAAACAUAGCUAUCGCUUAAAAUACCACAGCCAAUCGUCGACAAACAUUUGUGAGGUCAGUCCACCGAGCUCUCGUGAAAUUAGCUGAAGAGGGAGAAAUAGAAUGCAGCUAGUGAAUGUGGCAUAACAGAAUAAAAGGAGCACGGUGCAUCCUUUACUGAUGAAAGUCUGACUCGACCUACAGGCCACCACAAAAUUAUCUUCUUUAACUCUCAUCUCUAGAGGAAAAAUAUUUUCUACUUCAAGUCAAAGAAAACAUGAAUGCAAAUGAAAUAGAAGGAAUGAAAAAUAAUGAAUUAUCUAAAACGAGAUGAAGGAAACCAUACACAAAAUCAUAUUUUGAAGAAGCUAAAAAAUAUUGGAAUAUUACUGUUAUAUAAAAUAGGAAGGAAAUUAAGAUAUAUAUAUAUAAUCAUUUUAAUUAUGUUGUACAAACACAUACAAGUAAGAACCAUUUCUAACAAGGAUAAUAUAAAUAUUUUUUACCUAGAAAAAUCAGAGACACAAUUCUGUCGAAUAUAACAAAUUCUGAUAGACUACAAAGACAGGCUACAGUGUAAUAAAGAUACUUGGAAUAAGUUUUUCCUUUAGGAAUCCAAAUCACAAUUAUUCUUUCUUCAAAUCAUCGGUCUUUGUCUGAUUUAUUAUUAAAAUUAUCUUUAAUCACUUCAAUUAUUAAUUUUAGCCACUACAUGCAAAGAACUAAUUUAUCUUUUUAUCACUCUC